UACAGAGGUCCCAAGCGUUGUUCGGAUUCAUUGGGCGUAAAGGGUGUGUAGGUGGCGCCGUAAGUCGGGUGUGAAAUUUCGGAGCUUAACUCCGAAACUGCAUUCGAUACUGCGGUGCUUGAGGACUGGAGAGGAGACUGGAAUUAGGUGUAGCAGUGAAAUGCGUAGAGAUCAUGAGGAAGACCAGUGGCGAAGGCGGAGUU
rnacentral:rRNA from 1 species